rnacentral:rRNA from 1 species
GCAUCUAGAUUAGAGUUUGAUCCUGGCUCAGAUUGAACGCUAGCGGGAUGCUUUACACAUGCAAGUCGAACGGCAGCACGAGGAGCUUGCUCCUUGGUGGCGAGUGGCGAACGGGUGAGUAAUAUAUCGGAACAUGCCCAGUAGCGGGGGAUAACUACUCGAAAGAGUGGCUAAUACCGCAUACGUCCUACGGGAGAAAGCAGGGGACCUUCGGGCCUUGCACUAUUGGAGUGGCCGAUAUCGGAUUAGCUAGUUGGUGGGGUAAAGGCUCACCAAGGCAACGAUCCGUAGCUGGUUUGAGAGGACGACCAGCCACACUGGGACUGAGACACGGCCCAGACUCCUACGGGAGGCAGCAGUGGGGAAUUUUGGACAAUGGGGGAAACCCUGAUCCAGCCAUCCCGCGUGUAUGAUGAAGGCCUUCGGGUUGUAAAGUACUUUUGGCAGAGAAGAAAAGGUAUCCCCUAAUACGGGAUACUGCUGACGGUAUCUGCAGAAUAAGCACCGGCUAACUACGUGCCAGCAGCCGCGGUAAUACGAAGGGUGCAAGCGUUAAUCGGAAUUACUGGGCGUAAAGCGCGCGUAGGUGGUUCAGCAAGUUGGAUGUGAAAUCCCCGGGCUCAACCUGGGAACUGCAUCCAAAACUACUGAGCUAGAGUACGGUAG